UACAGAGGUUUCAAGCGUUGUUCGGAUUCAUUGGGCGUAAAGGGUGCGUAGGUGGCGCUGUAAGUCGGGUGUGAAAUUUCGGAGCUUAACUCCGAAACUGCAUUCGAUACUGCGGUGCUUGAGGACUGGAGAGGAGACUGGAAUUCAUGGUGUAGCAGUGAAAUGCGUAGAGAUCAUGAGGAAGACCAGUGGCGAAGGCGGGUCUCUGGACAGUUCCCGACACUGAGGCACGAAGGCCAGGGGAGCAAACGGG
rnacentral:rRNA from 1 species